rnacentral:rRNA from 1 species
CACGUAGGGCGCAAGCGUUGUCCGGAAUUAUUGGGCGUAAAGAGCUCGUAGGCGGACUGUCACGUCUGCUGUGAAAAGCUGGGGCUUAACCCUGGCCUUGCAGUGGAUACGGGCAGACUAGAGGUAGGUAGGGGAGAAUGGAAUUCCCGGUGUAGCGGUGAAAUGCGCAGAUAUCGGGAGGAACACCGGUGGCGAAGGCGGCUCUCUGGACCACUACUGACGCUGAGGCGCGAAAGCUAGGGGAGCAAACAGG